rnacentral:rRNA from 1 species
UACGUAGGGGGCAAGCGUUGUUCGGAAUCACUGGGCGUAAAGGGUGCGUAGGCGGGUCUUUAAGUCAGGGGUGAAAUCCUGGAGCUCAACUCCAGAACUGCCUUUGAUACUGAAGAUCUUGAGUCCGGGAGAGGUGAGUGGAACUGCGAGUGUAGAGGUGAAAUUCGUAGAUAUUCGCAAGAACACCAGUGGCGAAGGCGGCUCACUGGCCCGAUACUGACGCUGAGGUGCGAAAGCGUGGGGAGCAAACAGGG